UACGUAGGGUCCGAGCGUUGUCCGGAAUUAUUGGGCGUAAAGGGCUCGUAGGCGGUCCGUCGCGUCGGGAGUGAAAACUUGGGGCUUAACCCCAUUCGUGCUUCCGAUACGGGCAGACUAGAGGCAGGCAGGGGAGAACGGAAGUUCCUGGUGUAGCGGUGGAAUGCGCAGAUAUCAGGAGGAACACCGGUGGCGAAGGCGGCUCUCUGGACCGACACUGACGCUGAGGCGCGAAAGCGUGGGGAGCAAACAGG
rnacentral:rRNA from 1 species